CUAGGGGAGGCAGCAGUGGGGAAUAUUGCACAAUGGGCGCAAGCCUGAUGCAGCCAUGCCGCGUGUAUGAAGAAGGCCUUCGGGUUGUAAAGUACUUUCAGCGGGGAGGAAGGCGGUGAGGUUAAUAACCUCAUCGAUUGACGUUACCCGCAGAAGAAGCACCGGCUAACUCCGUGCCAGCAGCCGCGGUAA
rnacentral:rRNA from 1 species